GCUCAGCCCUAAACACAGAUAGUACUAACACAAUACUACCCGCCAGAGAACUACAAGCGAAAAGCUAGAAACUCUAAGGACUUGGCGGUGCUUCAAAUCAACCUAGAGGAGCCUGUCCUAUAAUCGAUACUCCACGCUUUACCUUACCCCCCCUAUCAGCCUAUAUACCGCCGUCGUAAGCCUACCUUAUGAGAGAAACAGAGUAAGCAAAAUAGUCAACAACAAAUACGUCAGGUCAAGGUGUAGCACACGGGAGGGCAGAGAUGGGCUACACGAACAACAUAUUGAAAUAAUAUGUUUGAAGGCGGAUUUAGUAGUAAGAUAGACAAGAAAGCCUAUCUUAAACC
rnacentral:rRNA from 1 species